AGAGUUUGAUCCUGGCUCAGGAUGAACGCUAGCUACAGGCUUAACACAUGCAAGUCGAGGGGCAUCAGAGAAGAAAGCUUGCUUUCUUUGCUGGCGACCGGCGCACGGGUGAGUAACACGUAUCCAACCUGCCCUUUACUCGGGGAUAGCCUUUCGAAAGAAAGAUUAAUACCCGAUGGCAUAAUGAUUCCGCAUGGUUUCAUUAUUAAAGGAUUCCGGUAAAGGAUGGGGAUGCGUUCCAUUAGGUUGUUGGUGAGGUAACGGCUCACCAAGCCUUCGAUGGAUAGGGGUUCUGAGAGGAAGGUCCCCCACAUUGGAACUGAGACACGGUCCAAACUCCUACGGGAGGCAGCAGUGAGGAAUAUUGGUCA
rnacentral:rRNA from 1 species